GACGAACGCUGGCGGCGUGCUUAAACAUGCAAGUCGAACGAGGUCCAUGGGUUCGCAAGAACCCGGAAGACCUAGUGGCGAACGGGUGCGUAACACGUGAGGAACCUGCCCCUGAGACCGGGAUAACCCCGUCCGAAACGAAGGAGCUAAUACCGGAUGUGCUCAUCGGAUCACCUGGUCUGAUGAGGAAAUGGAUUCCGCUCUGGGAUGGCCUCGCGGCCUAUCAACUUGUUGGUGGGUAACGGCCUACCAAGGCGACGACGGGUAGCUGGUCUGAGAGGACGAUCAGCCACACUGGGGACUGAGACACGGCCCAGACUCCUACGGGAGGCAGCAGUUAGGAAUCUUGCGCAAUGGGCGAAAGCCUGACGCAGCAACGCCGCGUGGGGAUGAAUGCUCUCGGGUUGUAAACCCCUUUCAGCGGGGACGAUUAUGACGGUACCCGCAGAAGAAGGACCGGCCAACUACGUGCCAGCAGCCGCGGUAAUACGUAGGGUCCAAGCGUUGUCCGGAUUUAUUGGGCGUAAAGAGCUCGUAGGCGGUUUCGUAAGUCGGAUGUGAAAACUCAGGGCUCGACCCGGAGACGCCAUCUGAUACUGCGAUGACUUGAGUCUGGUA
rnacentral:rRNA from 1 species